rnacentral:rRNA from 1 species
CCUACGGGAGGCAGCAGUGGGGAAUAUUGCACAAUGGGGGAAACCCUGAUGCAGCGACGCCGCGUGAGUGAAGAAGUAUUUCGGUAUGUAAAGCUCUAUCAGCAGGGAAGAAGAAAGACGGUACCUGACUAAGAAGCCCCGGCUAACUACGUGCCAGCAGCCGCGGUACUACGUAGGGGGCACGCGUUAUCCGGAUUUACUGGGUGUAAAGGGAGCGUAGACGGCUGUGCAAGUCUGAUGUGAAAGCCCAGGGCUCAACCCUGGGACUGCUUUGGAAACUGGGGAGCUAGAGUGCUGGAGAGGUAAGUGGAAUUCCUGGUGUAGCGGUGAAAUGCGUAGAUAUUAGGAGGAACACCAGUGGCGAAGGCGGCUUACUGGACAGUAACUGACGUUGAGGCUCGAAAGCGUGGGGAGCAAACAGGAUUAGAUACCCUUGUAGUC